rnacentral:lncRNA from 1 species
AGUUGUCCUUAGAAACCUCAAGCAACUCCAUGGCAUGCCGCUCGUUUGGGGCAAAGCCAUACCCCUUUCAGGCCAGGUCUGCACAAACUCAGUGUUCUUGGUGAGGUGCCCAUGGUGGUGGCGACUGAGCCUGGGCUUUCUCCUUACCCCAUCAUUACCUGGGCCCUUGCUGAGACCCCAGUCAUGGGGUGGCACAGAGCCAUGGCUACUCCUUUUCAAUCUCAAUGAAAGUCUUAUAAGAAUCCUAGCUGGUUUCUUUAUAGAAAUUGACAAGCUAAUUGUAAAGUUUAUAUAGAAGUUCAAUGGGUGCAGAAUAGAUAAAACAACCUUGUAAAAGAAGAGCAAAGUUGGAGGACUCACACUUCCUGAUUUCAAAACAUUAUUGCAAAGCAACAGUAACUAAGACAGUGUGGUAGUAGCAUAAGGAUAAGCAGACAGAUCAAUGGAAUAGAAGUGAGAGUUCAGAAAUAUACCCACAUGUCUAUGGGAAACUUAUUUUGACAAGGUUGUCAAGAACAUCCAGUAAGGAAACACUAGUUUCAACUAAUGGCAAAGGGACACCUGGAUAUCCAUAUGCAGAUGUAUGAAGUUGGACCCUUACCUCAAAUCAUAUACAAAAAUUAAUUCCACAUUAAUUGAUUACCUAAAUGUAAGAGCCAAAACCAUAAAGCUCUUAGAAGAAAACACAGAAACUAAUCUUUGU